rnacentral:rRNA from 1 species
CUGCCUUCAGAGGGGAAUAACGUUUGGAAACGAACACUAAUACCGCAUAACAUUGGGAUAUGGCAUCAUGACCCAAUCAAAUAUUUAUCGCUGAAAGAUGGGCUCGCGCCCGAUUAGGUAGUUGGUGAGAUAAUAGCCCACCAAGCCGACGAUCGGUAGCCGGACUGAGAGGUUGAACGGCCACAUUGGGACUGAGACACGGCCCAGACUCCUACGGGAGGCAGCAGUGGGGGAUAUUGCACAAUGGGGGGAACCCUGAUGCAGCGACGCCGCGUGAGGGAAGACGGUUUUCGGAUUGUAAACCUCUGUCUUUAGGGACGAAACAAAUGACGGUACCUAAAGAGGAAGCCACGGCUAACUACGUGCCAGCAGCCGCGGUAAUACGUAGGUGGCAAGCGUUGUCCGGAAUUACUGGGUGUAAAGGGAGCGUAGGCGGGAAUGCAAGUUGAAUGUUUAAACUAUGGGCUCAACCCAUAGUCGCGUUCAAAACUGCAUUUCUUGAGUGGAGUAGAGGCAGGCGGAAUUCCUAGUGUAGCGGUGAAAUGCGUAGAUAUUAGGAGGAACACCAGUGGCGAAGGCGGCCUGCUGGGCUCUAACUGACGCUGAGGCUCGAAAGCGUGGGUAGCAAACAGGAUUAGAUACCCUGGUAGUCCACGCCGUAAAC